CCUACGGGGGGCAGCAGUGGGGGAUAUUGCACAAUGGGGGGAACCCUGAUGCAGCGACGCCGCGUGCAGGAAGACGGCUCUAUGAGUUGUAAACUGCUUUUGUAGGGGAGCAAAGAGAGUCACGUGUGACUCAUUGAGAGUACCCGAAGAAAAAGCAUCGGCUAACUCCGUGCCAGCAGCCGCGGUAAUACGGAGGAUGCGAGCGUUAUCCGGAUUUAUUGGGUUUAAAGGGUGCGCAGGCGGAGGUGCAAGUCAGCGGUCAAAUUGCGGGGCUCAACCCCGUACUGCCGUUGAAACUGCAUCCCUUGAGUGCGCGAGAAGUAUGCGGAAUGCGUGGUGUAGCGGUGAAAUGCAUAGAUAUCACGCAGAACUCCGAUUGCGAAGGCAGCAUACCGGCGCGCAACUGACGCUCAUGCACGAAAGCGUGGGUAUCAAACAGGAUUAGAUACCCCAGUAGUC
rnacentral:rRNA from 1 species